rnacentral:rRNA from 1 species
AUUGAACGCUGGCGGCAUGCCUUACACAUGCAAGUCGAACGGUAACAGGUCUUCGGAUGCUGACGAGUGGCGAACGGGUGAGUAAUACAUCGGAACGUGCCCGAUCGUGGGGAUAACGAAGCGAAAGCUUUGCUAAUACCGCAUAAGAUCUAUGGAUGAAAGCAGGGGACCGCAAGGCCUUGCGCGAACGGAGCGGCCGAUGGCAGAUUAGGUAGUUGGUGGGAUAAAAGCUUACCAAGCCGACGAUCUGUAGCUGGUCUGAGAGGACGACCAGCCACACUGGGACUGGGACACGGCCCAGACUCCUACGGGAGGCAGCAGUGGGGAAUUUUGGACAAUGGGCGAAAGCCUGAUCCAGCCAUGCCGCGUGCAGGAUGAAGGCCUUCGGGUUGUAAACUGCUUUUGUACGGAACGAAAAGACUCUUUCUAAUAAAGAGGGUCCAUGACGGUACCGUAAGAAUAAGCACCGGCUAACUACGUGCCAGCCGCCGCCGUAA